UACGGAGGGUGCGAGCGUUAAUCGGAAUUACUGGGCGCAAAGAGUGCGUAGGUGGUUGAAUAAGUUAUCUGUGAAAUCCCUGGGCUUAACCUGGGCAGGUCAGAUAAUACUGUUUAACUCGAGUAUGGGAGAGGGUAGUGGAAUUUCCGGUGUAGCGGUGAAAUGCGUAGAGAUCGGAAGGAACACCAGUGGCGAAGGCGGCUACCUGGCCUAAUACUGACACUGAGGCACGAAAGCGUGGGGAGCAAACAGGAUUAGAAACCCUAGUAGU
rnacentral:rRNA from 1 species